GUUUUUUUUUUGUUUUUUUAAAAAAAUCGUAAUCACGAGAUCGUUUACUUGUCAUAACGUCAUCUUUUCACGCAAUAAUACGAUUUUUUAACGCAAUCAAGUAUUUUUCUGAUCACAAACAGAUACUGAUGUUUUGUUUUGUUUUUCUUUCUAUACAUCACAGUACAGCGCUUCAGUUAAAGAUACUUGUCACCCUAUCACCUGUUUGUUUUUAGGACGGUAGCUACUUCAUAGUCUUUCUAAAUAUUUUAUAAUGUUUUAUUCCCUAUUUUAUGUAUUACAUUAUUUAGUAAAGUCUGAUUUUAGAAAGGACUUCAUGAAGGCAGCAGGUAAAACUGACUGCGGGUCCUGGAAUAAAGUUGGUUUGACGUUCGAUAUUCGCGGAAAUGCGGAAAUUAAGGGACCGUCUCUAAAGUUACAUACGACAUUUUUAUAAACGAUUCUAACUUCAAGAGCAUUUGAAGGGAAUGACAAGUCAUAUAACCAACUGUAAAGUGUUCAUCUAGGUGUCAGAUCCAAGCUCUGGGGCCUAAGAAAGCAUGUGAGAUAGUCAUUGCCGUCACACAGUCAAAGGACAAAAAAGGUCUUAUAUCCUGCAUCAUUCAGAGCUGAAAAUACUCCAGCCAAGAAAAAGUGGGGGAAGUCCGAACUCCCUCCCAACUUUCCAGCCUGCCCUAGCCUGCCUUGCUCCUGCCUCCCAGGAUGACCUCACAGAUUGGUGGCCAUAUUUAAAGAAGAAGACAGAGUGAGAAUUUGUGGGAUGUUGGAGGUGGUUACAUGAGAUUGCGUUUUAGAGAUUGUUUGGUUGUAUGCUAUUUUCUGACUGCUGUUUUGGUAUUUGACGUUUGCCUGGUUUUUGACUUUGAGUUUGGCUGUCCCUAAAUCUGUUUGUGCAUUCUCUUCACUUUUGUAUAUAUGUUCACUUGGUUCACUGGCAGUAGGGGUGUGGCUGCCAUUUCUUUUGGGAGAGGGUUCCUUUUGUCUCUGUUUCUUUGCUUAGGUAGUUAGGGAAGUAUAUGUUUAUUUUCUUUAUUUUCCUUUUAGAUAAGGUAGCUACCUAAACAAUAGAAUUUUUUGUUUAUUAUUUUGGCCUUGGCCCACCCUGAAGAUAUGCCUGGUUUGGUUAAUUUGUACAAUUAUAUGUAUAUAUUGUCUGUUAUAAUAUACCACAACCUUUUUCCACACAAUCUUGUUUGUAUUGUUUAUUCCUGGCUUCCCCUAUUUAAAGAUCAAUCCAAUUGAAUCCCGAGCUGGUUACUCUGACUGGGCUGUAACAGUUAAUGAAACACUGGAUGAGAUCACUACACAGCAAGUGUUGUACUUCAUGGAGAAUGAAAUGAAGUACGGAGAAACAGUCUCUCAAAGGUGGACUUUGAUGACUAUGAGGGAAUGAUAAGUUUUCUGAAUGUCAAUGGGAAUCAUUGGAUAUUUUUGUAUCUCCAUGCAGCAUCCAGCCAGGUGUUUGUGGUAGACCCAGCAGGACAUGAUGAAGAAGCAAAAUCCAUGCAUGCAGCCACUAGAUUUCAGUAAUAUUUUUAGCUUGUUAUAUACUGUACUUACAAAGAUGGGUUACAAAUUAGAAAAAAAGCAUGCCUGCGUGAAGAGGCCCACUUCUUUUUGAUGUUUUCUUGUCACAGGGUAUUGAACGGUGAAUGAUAUGCUGUGUCCUUUUCUAUCACCAGAUUUUCAGUAAAUUAAACAAAAUUAGAUUUUGCACCAAACUAUUGCAAAAGAAGUUGUUGGUGCAUUUCCAAAUAUCCCUUGCCAUUUGACUAUAAACUCAUCCAAGGAGCACAUGGAACAUCUGCGACUGACAAUGGCAGAGGAGCUUCUGAAAGCCUCAGGGCUGACAUAUAACUGCAUGUUUUCAGUAUUCAAGAGGGGACAUUACUGCUCAUUAUGUGCUGCCUCAAAAUCCCCCGGUUGGUGGUGCAAAAACAUUCUGGAUUGAAUGUCACCGCUGCAAGAUGGGGUUUCAUGUGGCAUGCCUUUCUAUGUCAGAGAAGCAGUUCAAAAGGUUGACAGGAAGUGCUGCCAAUGUAAAUCAUUUUGAAUUCCUUUGGCUCCCAUCCACAGACUAAACAUGUACAUAAAUAAAUGAAAAGAAAACAAAUAAAAAUGUUUGAAAUAUUAAAACAUCCGUGGAUCAUAAUUUCUUUUAAUUAUUUAAUUGAUAGGAUUUUUUGAAGAAAACCAUUCAAUCAAGUACGGGUCAUUUUGACCCCCUUUAUGCAUUCGUGAAGGUUUUUUGUUUUUGUUUUUGGUUCAUGCAUUGUAGGGUUAAAUAUCAAACAUCUAAAAGGUGUUU